GGCUGGGCUUCAAAUUGCAUUUUUCUUCUGUGCUCUCACAUAAAAGGAAAAGAAAAAAAAAUUAAUUAGAACACUGCCUGAACCUAUUAUCUCGCGCUUUCAAUCCCUACGCCGUCAGUACUCAUAGACCUUUUUACUCUCCAUCUCCAUUACUUUCAACUCACAAUCUGAAUCUCCAUCAUCGUUUCGCCGCAAUCUCUCUCUCAGUCUCCCACCUCGCUGCCAAAUCUCCAUUGUGGUUGAUCUGUGGUCUCACAUUUUUCGAAUCUGUGGUAUCCUCCACUUGGGUUCCUCAUGCUAAAAUCUGCCAUUACAACAAGAUGGUAUUGUCUCCUCCUUUCCUUCAAAGGUUCAGCAAAGGAAUAUUAUCUAUCGACAAUCAUGAGGAUAUCAUUGCAACUGGUGGGAUUGAUAGAAAAGUUGUGAUCUUCGAUCUACAGUAAAACAAAGUCCUAUCUACUCUAAGUUGUCAUUUCGGCAGGGUCACCAGUGUUAGAUUUUUGGGUCGUGAUAUCUGAUCAUAUAUGGGUUGUCCCACAGAAAGGUUUUGUUAGGGAAACACGUUGAUGAUGGGGAUUAUUACUGUCAAGACUUUGGCGAAUCAUACAGCUGAGCUAAAUCAGGUUUGACUUGACUUAACCUCACUGGAAAAUGUUCCAAGUUAAAGCUCUUCAACUGCACAUAAAUGUAGGGAGCAACGAAUCUAGAAAAAGAUAGAUGCAUUUGAUCUUCCAGUUGUAUGUUGCCAAAUCUAUGAAAGAUGUUGUAGCAUAUCCCCAGGUACUCAGUUGUUUUUACUCUGUCACAGUCUAUACCUUUACACCUGUAUUAUUUCUCUCAAAGGAUUAUUUAUUUUCUUUUAUUUGUUUUGUUUAUCUCAGAAUGGUGUUCCGAUCCUUUUAUUUGUUUUGUUUGUCUCAGAAAUGAUUAUAUAUUAUAAUUUUAGUAUAUUGAAACAAAAUUAACAUCAUAGAUUAAAUGUUAACUUAUGUGUAGAAAAAUCUGAUUGGAGAGUUGAUUAAGAUCAAGCAACAGUUGGCUGAGUCUGAGGGUACCCCAUUCGAAGAUGUUAUAAUGCCUAUCCCUCUGCACUCAAAUCUCUUGGCUAAGGAGCUCGGAACUGUGAAGGCUAAGAUCAUUCGAGGUGUGGGUUAUGGUCUUCAAAAGGACACAUUUUGUUCUUCAAUCCCUACAUCCACGUCUAACCCAACAAAUGCUCAACUUAUGAGGUACAUUGUUCUACUGGAAGAGCGAUUUGCUUCUCUUGAGGGUGAAGAACAACCUCUUACACAUGAUGUGGAUGAAGAGGGUGGUGAGGAGGGUGAUUUGGAUGUGCUUUAGGUGUUGAUAUCCUCGUUAGUUUUUUGCAAGUUAUAUUUUGGAUGUACAAAUGAAGCCAUGAUAUUUCCAAAUGCAUAUAUAUCCCUUAAUUUAGGGCUUUGGUA